rnacentral:rRNA from 1 species
AGGACGACGCUGGCGGCGUGCCUAAUACAUGCAAGUCGAACGGUCUUUCUAUGGAAGCUUGCUUCCACUGAGAAGAUAGUGGCGAACGGGUGAGUAACACGUGGGUAACCUGCCCAUAAGAGGGGGGAUAACAUCCGGAAACGGGCGCUAAUACCGCAUAGUUUUCUUGGUCGCAUGAUCGGGAAAGGAAAGACGGCCUUUGUGCUGUCGCUUAUGGAUGGACCCGCGGCGUAUUAGUUAGUUGGUGAGGUAACGGCUCACCAAGACGAUGAUACGUAGCCGACCUGAGAGGGUGAUCGGCCACAUUGGGACUGAGACACGGCCCAAACUCCUACGGGAGGCAGCAGUAGGGAAUCUUCCGCAAUGGACGAAAGUCUGACGGAGCAACGCCGCGUGAGUGAAAGAAGGUUUUCGGAUCGUAAAACUCUGUUGUCAGAGAAGAACAAGUUGGAGAGUAACUGCUCCAGCCUUGACGGUAUCUGACCAGAAAGCCACGGCUAACUACGUGCCAGCCGCGGC